UCAGCCUGCUCCUUCCUGUAAUCUAAACACUUUCUCUCCAGUUCCUCUCGUUGGGCAAGCAGGGCUGCCAUCUCCUCCUGGAGUCUUCUCUUGUCUUGGGACAAACGGGUUAUCUGGGCCUGCAGAGCAGUCUGCGAGCGCUGUGCGCGCCGCGUCACCUGUUGCAAGCGCGAGGCGUAGUUCUGUCUCAGCUCGUCCAUCUGGCGCUCCCACACGCGCUGCUUCUCCUCAAACACCUGAAUGAUGGCGGCUUCACUUUGGUCCAGGUUGCGGCGCAUGUGCUGCACCUAGUGAUCAAGUAAAGCAUUUGUAAAUAUUAUAAGAUAUUUUUGUCAUGCAAGAUACUCUAGGUGAAGAUUGCUUAGUUUAGGGCAUCAUUCGAUCUCUAGGUUUGGCAAUUCUAUGACAGCGUAGAUUUUCUUUGGGCAUAAAAUCAGUGAAACAUAUUAAAAAGGUAAAGUCUAAAGUGGCAAAUAUGUGUUGUGGCUUCCCCUGGCCGUUCUUUGUAACAUCCAUUUUGAUAACUGGAGCAGGUCCAUGUCAUUCAGAACCUUUAACCAUUAUUAUGAAGGCAAAAACAAACAUUUGUGUUAAAAUUUGCAGGCAUCUGCACUUUGCAAACCAAAAUGGAUGGAACCGAAAUUCAUGUCAUUUCUAACACUAGUGCUAUUCCUAGUUUGUAUUAUUUUACUAACAUGUUGUGGAGAGGGCAAUUUUAAUUUGACUUUAACACAGUACCCGAUGUCCAUCAAUAAGCAUUAUUCUAUUCAAAUAAAUGCAGAU